rnacentral:rRNA from 1 species
UUAAGGCGUGGAGUGCACAGAGAGAAAAGUAACUAGGCAAUCGAAUGCCGAGCUUAGCCUUCGGGCGAAGCGUAUUACCAGACAAUCUGUCUAGAAAAGCUCCACGUUGUUUCCCUGGUUGCCAGUACCGUAAACCGACACAGGUGGGUGGGUCGAGUAGACCAAGGCGCGCGAGAGAAACCUCUCUAAGGAACUCGGCACAUUAGCCCCGUAACUUCGGGAGAAGGGGUGCCUAUUUAAUAGGUCUCAGUAAAUUGCGUUUAGCGACUGUUUAACAAAAACACAGCACUCUGCUAAGUCGUCAAGACGACGUAUAGGGUGUGACACGUGACCAAUGCGGAAAGAUCAAGGCAACUUGUUAGCCGUAAGGCGAAGCUCGGAACCUAAGUCCCCGUGAAUGUCGGCCGUAACUAUAACGGUCCUAAGGUAGCGAAAUUCCUUGUCGGGUAAGUUCCGACCUGCACGAAUCGUGUAACGACUGAACGACUGUCUCGGAGAGGAUCUCGGCGAAACUGUAACGGCGGUGAAGAUGCCGCCUGCCCGCAGUAGGACGGAAAGACCCUAUGCACCUUUACUGUAAGCUCGUAUUGGGUUCUGAUUAAUAAUGCUUAGCGUAGGUGGGAGACUUUGAAGGCGUGGCUUCGGUUGCGCUGGAGUCGAAAUGUGAAACACCACUCUUUGUUAAUUAGGAUUCUAACCCCGAUUCCUGUGAAGCCGGGCGGGGGACAGUGCGUGCGGGUCAGUUUGACUGGGGCGGUUUCCUCCCAAAGAGUAACGGAGGAGCGCGAAGGUACUCUCAGUACGGUUAGCAACCGUGCGUCGAGCGUAUGGGUAGAAGAGUGCUUAACUGUGAGACCUACAAGUCGAGCAGGUACGAAAGUAGGCCCAAAUGAUCCGAUAGUUUAAUGUGGAAUUGCUAUCGCUCAACGGACAAAAGGUACGCUAGGGAUAACAGGCUGAUCGCUGCCAAGAGUUCAUAUCGACGCAGCGGUUUGGCACCUCGAUGUCGGCUCAUCGCAUCCUGGGGCUGGAGAAGGUCCCAAGGGUCCGGCUGUUCGCCGGUUAAAGCGGUACGCGAGCUGGGUUCAGAACGUCGUGAGACAGUUCGGUCCUUAUCCACUGUGGGCGAAGGAAACUUGAGGGGUUCAUUCUCUAGUACGAGAGGACCGAGAAUGACGCACUUCUGGUGUGGCAGUUAUUCCGUCAGGGGUAGCGCUGCGUAGCCAUGUGCGGAAGAGAUAAGCGCUGAAAGCAUCUAAGUGCCAAGCUCAUCCCAAGAUAAUGUUUCCCGGACG